UAGGGGGCAAGCGUUAUCCGGAUUCACUGGGCGUAAAGGGAGCGUAGACGGCCAUGCAAGCCUGGAGUGAACACCCGGGGCCCAACCCCGGGACUGCUCUGGGAACUGUGCGGCUAGAGUGCGGGAGGGGCAGGCGGAAUUCCUGGUGUAGCGGUGAAAUGCGUAGAUAUCAGGAGGAACACCGGCGGCGAAGGCGGCCUGCUGGACCGCGACUGACGUUGAGGCUCGAAAGCGUGGGGAGCAAA
rnacentral:rRNA from 1 species